UUCAAUUUUAUAGGGAAAACGCAAGAAAGAUUUGUCGAGAAGAGCAUCCCGAGAUCAACAUCUCAACUCUUACCAACGACAUUUCAUUGAAAUGGAAAGUAAAUAAACACUAUUUUAUUCAUUGUUACUUGUGAAAUUGAAUUCCUGGUUUUGAGAAAAAUCUUAUGGAUUUGGUUGUUUUGGGAACAAUCUAAUUGUAGGAACUGGGUGAGAAGUGAGCCCAAUUUAUAUUGGAAGGGCUGCAAGUUAGUGAAACAAUAAGCCAAGACAGAACAGAGAAGAUUUUGGGACGAUUCAGGUACACUAAUACACUCCCUUCUAUUUAUUUUUAUUUAUCAUAGAUGGGCUAACUGUAGCAAUGUAGCGUAGACGUCUAUAGAAACACCAAUUUCUUUACUAAAUCCAAUGAUGCAUGUGAGGCAGUGAAGGACAAUACAUGUGACAGUUCUCUUGCCUCAAACCUUAAACAUCUAACAGAGAGAGCAUGCCCUCCCUGAAGAUGAUGGAAAUAAAUAUACCCAAACAGUUAUUAGAAGCAAAUAAAAAGCAGGAGUAUAUGAUCCUUAGGGCAUUUGAGUGAAAGCAACCUCUCUUCUAAGAAAGUUAAGACCUCUCUUCUAAGCCUUAAGUUAUAUAUCAAGUCCGAUUUCUUUGUGAAAUUAAAAGAAGCCUUUUUUUCAAUUUUGUGUUGGAAUGGAUCUUCUUCUUCUAUGUAGAACGAUCUGGAACUCUUUGUUGAGGAGCAACACACUUAAUGUGGAGAAUAUGAAGAUCAAGAGAGAAUACAUGAUUUAUUGAGCUUGGAGGAACUCGAAAAGCUUAAGGUGGAGCAAAAAAUACUGCUAAUGAGGAAGGAAUUCCAGCCUAACAUCGUACAAUUUCUAGAAUUUGCCCUGGUUCUCCACUUAUUUAAGGCUUAUUGAAAUCUAGUUAAUCAUAUGCGUUAUGGUCUUAUGGAGUUUGUUGGCUUGCUUUGAACUAAUAAGCGUCGGCUUAGCUUUCUGCACAUUUCAUGCUGCCAAGGUUCAAGGUUCUCACCAAGAAUGAAGACUGAGUAAGUUUAUUUACAAUGUAUGGGAAUUCUCAACGUAAGUUUGUUAACUCUAGGAACUAUGAUCCAUAAGCUAACGUAAGCACUAACAUAGGGUUUACACUUGUUACCAGAUCCCCAACAUGAGUGCUCAAAUUUACAUCUUUACGACAAAGAGGAGGAACUUGAGAUGCUUAAGGUGGAGCACAAAAAACUACAAUAAAUGGAGUAAUUCAAGCCGAACAUGGUAUAGUUUCUAAAUCUAUCUCUGGUUCUCCACUUAAUUUACAGUAUAUGUUAUGUGGAAAUGAUUCAUAAUUAUUUUUAGAAUUUGGCUAGUCAUAUGUGACUAAGAUUUAGGGAGCUUGUUGAUGGUAGGCUCGCUUUAAACUAAUUGUUUGAUGGAAGUUUCUGCUUAGAUUUGAGACUAGCUCCAUCCACUCUUGGUCGUUUUCUUUCUACUAUGUGUUUUAUCUUUCGCGAAGUCAUUAGGAACAUCAAUUGGUGCGGACAGAAACGAUGAUUCUGACUUUGGUACCUUUUUCCUAAAAUCAUCAUGCUAGGCUUGUGACUAUAGCAGGUAUGAGGUUGCGAAGAUGGCAAUGGAGUGAACCAAUGAAAAGUUCAACAAUAUUUUCUAACUUGUGUGCAGAUUCUUGAACUUUUUAAUAGGGGGAAAAUAGGAACAAGAGAUCUACAUGAAAUGGAAUGAUGAAAAUAACAAAUCAAAUACAAAGAAUACACGUUUUGAGCUAAGUCAGUCACUAACAAUAACACAUGUUUCUUGCAGAUAAGAAAGAGACGAUAAAGACAAAGAAGAAGGACGAGAAUCUUGACCGUAACAAACCCGAAAAGCUUUGUUUCUUCAUUCAUUAUAUUCUGGUACUUCAAUAUUUGAAUACUCAAAUAUUUUCUAACUAUCUGUUUUGUAUACAGUUUGAUUGCAAAAAGUUGAACAAAGAGUUUGUCGAGAAGAGCAUCAAGGGAUCAAAAAGUCAACUCUUACCGCCCAUAUCUCAUUGGAAUGAAAAGUAAUAAAAUAAAAUUUUAUUCAUUGUUACUUGUGGAAUUGAUUUGUCGGUUUUGAAGAAAUUCUUGUUGUAGGAAUUGCGAGUUAAUGGAAGCGUGCAUGAAAGAAGUGGAAGCUUUAUUAAAUUGUAGCUGACUACAUUUCAGUGAACAACUAAUAUGAUCUGAAUUCAUUCUCGUUUGAUAGUAAUAGUAACUAUCUCUCUUGUGUACAAAUCUCUUGUGUAAACAUUCUUAUCUCGUCCAUUCCUCUGGCUAGGGUAUGGCCAAAGCCAAUGAUUUUCUUACAGUUCAAUUUUCAUGUAAUUGCAGAGGAUUCAACUUCCUUCAAGGACAGACCAUACAAAAUGGAGGGCUUCAGCACCAAACUAUAGAAUAUUUCCUAAGUUUAUAUGCUCUUCUGAAUUGUUUGCUUCUGGUUAUUGAUGGAUCUUGUACUUGCAGGGUUGAUGAUGCUAGACUGCCUAUAAACCGUGUGGUUCAAAUCACAUCCUCUCUCAUGACACCUUAUCAUUUUGUGAGUCUUCUUUCAUUAAUGUACACCUCGUCGAGUGAAAGAUGCAUAUACCCUGUGUUUGACCUCAGUUAUUUGUGAGACCUGGUUUGUCUUUUCUUUGUUUCAAAAAUGGAGACUUUUCUUGGCCGGUUUGGUUUAUGGUUUUGGUAAGUUUAUCCUCACGUCCAUAUUUUGAUAAUCAAUCACUUGUUAUCAUAGAAAGCCUUUCAUUUCUACCUCCGGAUUGGUAAUUGGUAGAUUAACAAGAAGGCUGACAUAAAAUAUAUAUCCUUAGAUUUAGUGGGAGUGGGUUUGAGAAUAAGAACUUGUAUAGUGUUUUAUUUAUUUGCAUAUGGUUUUUAAUUUAUUGUAGAUAUGAUGGUGAACCAUCACAGCUAGCUCUCUCGUGGAUGUGUUUGUUAUACGGCGGACCCAAUGAAUGAGCCUUCUUUUGUAACAGUAAAUACGGUUUUCUCAAUUCUUGUUCUGGACUAGCCAAGUGGAUAAAGCUACGUGUUAUGUUUCAUAUAAAGUUACAGUAACAAGGUUUUUUCCUAAAUCUUAUGAUUGCUGACAUUGAAUUUAAUCUCAGGUUCACCGGACUCUUGUCAGUUGUGUUCCUUGGACAUUUAUGUGAAGACAACGAUCCUCUUGAUGUUCUUAUCCUUAUGCAGGUAAUUGUGUUUUCACAACCAUCAAAAAUCACCGGAAUUGGUUAUCUAAUACCACAUUGUUUUAACAUGACUUGGAGAAAACAUCUAGGCAGAAGCCCGACUUAUCUUCUGAAUCGUGUAGUAAAUAGUGCUUUCCGGAUGUUUUCUCCGUGUUAGAGCCAUUGGAUUAAUGCUUGCUCAGGUUUCUUCUCUCAAUUUCCAUAAAUCUUUUUUUAUUUUUUCACAAAAUAUUAGGGAGCUAAAUGUGAAAGUCUUAGAACCUGAUAUUGCAUAACUUUGAUUAAGGUGCGUGUUCUGUUUCUGUGAUGAUUCUUCAACUAUGCAAACUUUUUAAUCCUUUUGUGAAAUGGCUAAGUUUGCUAGGAAAUGGCUAAAGCACACAAAAUACCAGACUACGGUUGGACAAUGCAGAAUGUUAAUCAAUGGCCUAGUAACAACUCUAAAGACCAUCUUGAAAUGAUUCAGGUACACUGAUACACUCUUAUCUGUUUCUUUUAACUUAGCAUAGAGGUCAAGGUAAUUUUUUAGAGGUACUCUCAGUUUAACUUUCGAUUUUCUAACGUUCCCUUUUGUCAUUGGCUUGGAAGCGUUUUUUGUUUUGUUGUAUAAGAUCAGUGGCUUCGUACUAUUCCGUAAUGCGAGUACAUUUAUAGGUAAUUGGCUUAGUCGAUAAAUAGCAACUAUGAUUUCUUAAGAUCUGACUUUUAUUUCUCCUGAUCAAGCGUUUAUUACACUUACAGCUAUUCUUAUCAAUGGAGAAUAUCUUUUGAACGUAGAUUGUGAUCAUCACUUCAAAAAAAUAGGCGAUUCAAAAAGGGAUUUGUUUCAUGAUGGACCAUGCUAUUUGUAAGAAGUGAUGAUAUGUGCAUUUCCCACAACGUUUCGAUAUAAACCAACAAGAAUAUUGUCUUCUUUGAUGUGAGUUUAAUUAACUCAAUAUAUUCCACCAGUGUCUUUAAUUUCCCGUCUCGGUCAUGUCUUGUCCACUUAAGCUGACUCAUGUGUAUUCUGUUGUGCAAAUUUUGGUGGUUGUUUUAACAGGUAAUGGGUAUGAUGCAAGAAAGAGUUUGUCAUCUAUUUGAUUCUUACCGCUCACAUUUCAUAUGGCAAAGAAAGAAUAUUUUAUUCUUUGGUUAAUUGUGAGAUUAAUAUUUUGGUUUAUAGGAAAGACCCUAUUGUAGGAAUUGGGUGAAGAAGAGAAGCAAAAUUAUAGUGGAGGGGCUAGGAGUAAUGGAAGCGUAUGGUAAAGAAGGUGAAGCCAUAAAACUUCUGGAAUAUGUUCGAAAGCGUAAAAUUGUAAUGGAAUUGAUUGAUUAAUAUAUCAAUCUAAAGCUCAUGACUACAUUUCAAUCACAUUAUAUUAAUAAGAGUAUUGUCUGCAUUCACGUUUUGUAGGAAGCUAAAGGAUCUUCUCAAACUCAAACAACUCAACCAUGCCUAAUCUAUGCAAAGGUUUGUUUUUUUGAGUAAAGUUAACAAGGGGCUACUUCAGCCCUUCUUAGUUCUUAGUUCAGUUUUGUCACUUCACUUGAGCAAAUUUAUUUGUAUAAUUUGUGAGUUCAUGACUGUUUUCUAUUGAUUUCAGUACUUGUACGUGUAGAUCAAUCGUUGACUCCGCUGCAAAAGAACAUGUGUUUCGAUGAAUUCAGUGAUGUAUAUAUACAGUUCCGGUAUUUCUUUAUAUAUACCGAUUAGGACUCUUUCAAUUACAUUGGUGAGUUCAUGAUUGUUUUCUAUUCGGUUCAGUCUUCUCUUCUAAUUUCAAUAAGUUGUGUGGAUAACUUGGUGGGUUUAUCUUGAAGGCAUUUGUCUGUUCUGUAAAAUCUGGUUUCUUGAUGCUCUAAAAUCUCUAUUUGCUUCUCUGACUUUUUGGUUACUUGUACGAAUGAAUGGUGUUCAUGCCAUAACAGAGAACUUCAGCGAGCAUGUCUAGUCAUCUUGAUCAGAAUGUCGAACAGUAAGUACUCUGCUCUAUUCUUCAAUAUCUUUCAAACUAUCCUACUUGAGUUCUAUCUGCGUUUUCUUAUUGCAGGUUGUUGUUACAUGUGAAAUAUUUGUAUGGAUGAUGAUUUUUGGAGGUGGAUAGAAUUACUGCCAAGGGAGAGAUACUUGAUACGGGUCUCUGAUUUUGGCUUAUCUUUGUUUUUGGAGUAAAGUUAACAAGGAGCUACUUUAGCUCUUCUUAGUUCUUAGUUCAGUUUUGUCACUUCACUUGAGCAAAUUUCUUUGUAUAAUUUGUGAGUUCAUGACUGUUUUCUAUUGAUUUCAGUACUUGUACGUGUAGAUUGUUUUCUAUUGAGUUGACGAUGUUGACUCCGCUGCAAAAGAACUUGUGUUUCGAUGAAUUCAGUGAUGUAUAUCCAGUUCCGGUAUUUCUUUCUAUAUUCCGAUUAGGACUCUUUCAUUUACAUUGGUGAGUUCAUGAUUCUUUUCUAUUCGGUUCAGUCUUCCCUUCUAAUUUCAAUAAGUUGUGUGGAUAACUUGGUCGGUUUAUCUUCAAGGCAUUUGUCUGUUCUGUAAAAUCUGGUUUCUUGAAAUUAUUAUCAGGAAUUUGGCUUGAUGGAUUCUCAAAGGGCAUCCCGUAUAUGCAUCCAGGUGAUAUAAAUGAAAUGGAACUAUGUUGAGCUAUGUCACUUUGAGCUAUGUCAGUCACUAACAACAACACAUGUUUCUUGCAGAUAAGGAAGAGAUGACAAAGACAAAGAAGAAGAACCAAACCCAAAAAGCCUUUUUUCUCCAUUCUUUCUAUUCUGGUCUUAAAUCAUUUCUAAAUCUGUUUUGUAUUCAAUUUUAUAGGGAAAACGCAAGAAAGAUUUGUCGAGAAGAGCAUCCCGAGAUCAACAUCUCAACUCUUACCAACGACAUUUCAUUGAAAUAGAAAGUAAAGAAACACUAGUUUUGAGUUUUAUUCAUUGUUACUUGUGAAAUUGAAUUCCUAGUUUUGAGAAAAAUCUUAUGGAUUUGUUGGUUUUGGGAACAAUCUAAUUGUAGGAACUGGGUGAGAAGUGAGCCAAAUUUAUUAUAUUGGAAGGGCUGCAAGUUAGUGGUACAAUAAGCCAGGACAGAACAGAGAAGAUUUUGGGACGAUUCAGGUACACUAAUACACUCCCUUCUAUUUAUUUUUACUUAUCACAGAUGGGCUAACUAUAGCAACGUAGCGUAGAUGUCUAUAGAGAUACCAACUUCUUUACUAAAUCCAAUGAUGCAUGUGAGGCAGUGAAGGACAACACAUGUGACAGUUCUUUUACCUCAUCCCUGAAGAUGAGGGAUGGAAAUAAAUUUACCCAAACAGUUAUUAGAAGCAAAUAAAAAGCAUGAGUAUAUGAUCCUUAGUGCAUUUGAGUGAAAGCAACCUCUCUUCCAAGAAAGUUAAGACCUCUCUUCUAAGCCUUAAGUUAUAUAUCAAGUCCGAUUUCUUUAUGAAAUUAAAAGAAGCCUUUUUUUUUUUCAAUUUUGUGAUUGGAAUGGAUCUUCUUCUUCUAUGUAGAACGACCUAGAACUCUUUGUUGAGGAGCAACACACUUAAUGUGGAGAAGAUGAAGCUAAGGCGAUAAUACAUGAUUUAUUGAGCUUGGAGGAAUUUCAGCCUAACAUCGUACAAUUUCUAGAAUUAGCCCUGGUUCUCCACUUAUUUCCCACUUCAGGUUUGGCGAAACUUAUUUAAGAUUUAUUUAAAUCUAGUUAAUCAUAUGGGUUAUGGUCUUAUGGAGUUUGUUGAUGGUUGGCUUGCUUUGAACUAAUAAGCUUCGGCUUAGUUUUCUGCACAUUUCAUGCUGCCAAGGUUCAAGGUUCUCACCAAGAAUGAAAACUGAGUAAGUUUAUUUACAACGUACGGGAAUUCUCAAAGUAAGUUAAAAUGAAUGCUCACAUUUACAUCUUUACGACAAAGAGGAGGAACCCGAGAUGCUUAAGGUGGAGCACAAAAGCCUACAAUAAAUGGAGUAAUUCAAGCCGAACAUGGUAUAUUUUCUAAAUCUAGCUCUGGUUUUCCACUUAAUUUACAGUACAUGUUAUGUGGAAAUGAUUCAUAAUUUUUUUUGGAAUUUGGCUAGUCAUAUAAUGUGACUAUGAUUUAUGGAGCUUGUUAAGAUAUUCCUUUAAUCUGCUUUUACUCCAAUAUAAGAUUUUGAUUAAACCAACGGAUUUUCAAAAAGAAUGUUUGUUUCUCCUCAACUAUUGGGCAGAGGCGCAAAGCCAAUGAGGAGUACAAGUCUCAAAAACAACAUGAUAAAUAGGGAAGGAAAUAGCUAUCUCUCUUGAGUACAAAUCUCUUGUGUAAAUAUUCUUAUCUUGUCCAUUUCUCCUUGCUGGGAUAUAUAGCCAAAGCCAAGAUUUUCGAUACAGUCCAAUUUUCAUGUGAUUUCAGAGGCUUCAACUUCAAGGACAUACCAUAGGAGAGGGAGGCUUCAUCACCAAACUAUUGAAUAUUUCCUAAGGUUACAUGAUCUUCUGAAUUGUUUGCUUCUGGUUAUUGAUGGAUCUUGUACUUACAGACUUUAUGAUGCUAGAUUACCUGUUAACAAGGAGACUUUUCUUGACAGGUUUGGUUUUUGGUCUUUGUAAGUUUAUCCUCUUGUCCAUAUUUUUCUACAAUAGAUGUCUUUCCACGUACCUUUUGAUAAUCAAUUACGUGUUAUUAUGGGAAGCCUUUCAUGUCUACGUCCGAAUGUGUAUUAGUAGAUUAACAAGAAGGCUGAAAUGAAAUAUAUUUCCUUUGAUUUUUAGUGGGAGUGGGUAUGAGAAUAAGAACUUGUAUAGUGUUUUGUUUAUUUGCAUUUCAUUUUUCGUAGAUAUGAUGGUGAACCGUCGCAGCUAGCUCUCUCGUGGAUGUGUUUGUUAUACGGCGGACCCAAUGAAAGAGCGUCCUUUUGGAACGGUAAAUACGGUUUUCUGAAUUCUUGUUCUGGACUAGCCCAGUGGAUACAGUUACGUGUUAUGUUUCAUAUAAUGUUACGAUUUCCUAAAUCUUAUGAUUGCUGACAUUGAAUUUAAUCUCAGGUUCACCGGACUCUCGUCAUUUGUAUUCCUUAAGACAUUUAUGUCAAGACAAUGAUCCUCCUUAUGUUCUUAUCCUUAUGCAGGUAAUUGUGUUUUCACAACCACAUUGUUAUCUAAUACCACAUUGUUUUAACAUGACUUGGAGAAAACAUAUAGGUAGCAGCCCGACAGGGUCCUGUGUUAGAGCCAUUGGAUUAAUGCCCAUGACUGAUCAGGUUUCUCCUCUAAAUUUCCAUACAUCUUUCUUAUUUUUCACAAAAUAUUAGGGAGCUAAAUGUGAAAGUCUUAGAACCUGAUAUUGCAUAACUUUGAUUACGGUGCGUGUUCUGUUUCCGUGAUGAUUCUUCAACUAUGCAAACUGUUUAAUCCUUUUGUGAAAUGGCUGAGUUUAAAGGAAAUGGCUACCUUUUUAUAAGAAAUUCAAGAGUAAACCUUAGGUUCUUUUUAGAAGAUAGAUUACUUGAAAGACUAGAGAUCCAGCUUACCGCUCAUCUCAGGAUCAACUAUUUGAUUCUUACCGCUUACAUUUCAUUUGGCUAAGAAAGAAUAUUAUUUUAUUCUUUUGUUAAUUGUGAGAUUAAUAUUUUGAUUUAUAGGAAAUACCCUUUUGUAGGGGAAUUGGGUGAAGAAGAGAAGUAAAUUUAUAGUGGAGGAGGUAGGAGUAAUGGAAGCGUAUCGUAAAGAAGUGAAGCCAUAAAACUUCUUGAAUAUGUUCGAAAGCAUAAAACUGUAAUGGAAUUGCUUUUUUAAUAUAUCAAUCUAAAGCUCAUGACUACAUUUCAAUCACAUUAUAUUAAUAAGAGUGCUGUCUGCAUUCACCUUUUGUAGGGAAGCUAAAGGAUCUUUUCAAACUAGAACAACUCAACCAUGCCUAAUCUAUGCAAAGGUUAGUUUUCGAUCUUUACUUAAGAAAUUAAAUCAGUUUUAGAAAUUAAAAAAGUAAUUUAAAGGUUAAGAAACAAUUAAGAAAAUAUUUAACCUUAUAAAAAAACUAUUAACUAAAUAUAAAAGUUACGCUAUGUAUUCGACAAUGCCAAUCCGACCUAUCAAUUUUAACGAGUUGAAGAUUUUUGCUACAAUUGAUUAAUGAUAGGUCAAAUAUAUAAUGGUUGUCAAUAUAUAUUAUUUUAUAAAAUACACAAAACCAAAAUGUUGUUUUUAUAUUCAUCACCAUCAUUAACGACUAAUCAUCAACUCAUCAUCCUCCUCAUCAUCAUCAUACUAUCAUCACUAGACGUAACAAUUUAUCAUCAUCAGCAUACUAUCAUCGUCAAUCCAUCAUCGUCUUCAUAUCAUCAUCAGUUAUGCUUCUU
rnacentral:lncRNA from 1 species